UUGAUUGGGCCAUUUUUCGACCUUAUAUUUGAGUUUAGGGUUGGAGGGGAUUUUUUCCCUUCUUCUGACUGUCUUAGUAAGCUGGCAGCUAAUUACUAUGGAAUCAAUCAGGAUGAUGACUAACUUCAUCAUAACCCUUUCUUCAUGUU
rfam:Escherichia hermannii NBRC 105704 DNA, contig: EH10570403.